AGUCACUGACAUUAGAUACCCCCGGUAGUCCAGGGUGUAAACGCUGCAGACUUGGUGUUGGAGGCCCUUUGGGGGCAUUCAGUGCCGGAGAGAAGUUGUUAAGUCUGCUACUUGGGGAGUACGUCCGCAAGGAUGAAACUUAAAGGAAUUGGCGGGGGAGCACCGCAACGGGAGGAGCGUGCGGUUUAAUUGGAUUCAACACCGUAAAACUCACCAGGGAAGACUGUUACAUGAAGGCCGAGAUGAAGACUCUGCUAGAUUUUUCAG
rnacentral:rRNA from 1 species